GGAUUGAAGGCUGAAAUUCGCCUUCAUGAAGCUGGAAUUGCUAGUAAUGGCAGGUCAGCAUACUGCCGUGAAUACGUUCCCGGGCCUUGUACACACCGCCCGUCACACCAUGAGAGUUGGAAAUACCCGAAGCCUGUGAGCUAACAGUAAUGAGGCAGCAGUCGAAGGUAGAGCCAAUGAUUGGGGUGAAGUCGUAACAAGGUAUC
rnacentral:rRNA from 1 species